rnacentral:lncRNA from 1 species
UCCUAUUGAAUUUCACUCAACUUUAGACCAAACCUAAUUAAAUCUUAAACCCUAAUAAUUCCUAAAUCCUAAGUCAAAUCCUAAAUGAAUCUUAAAUUAAAUCCUAUUUCACACCCUAAAUCCUAAACCAAAUCCUAAAUCCAAUCCUAAAUCCUAAACCAAACCUUAAAUCAAAUCCUAACCAAACCCUAAUCCAAAUCCUAAAUCAAACCCUAAUCAAAUCCUAAAUUCUAGCCGAACCCUAAUCUAAAUCCUAAAUCAAACCCUAACCAAAUCCUAAACCCUAAUCCAAAUCCUAAUCCAAAUCCUAAUCCAACCCUAAACUCUAAUCCAAAUCUUAAAUCCUAAACCAAACCUUAAAUCAAACCCUAACCAAAUCCUAAACUCUAAUCCAAAUCCUAAACCCUAAACCAAACCUUGAAUCAAACCCUAAUCAAAUCCUAGUCCAAACUCUAAUCCAAACCCUAAUUCAAAUCCUAAAUCCUAAUCCAAAUCCUAAAACCUAAUCCAAUCCCUAAUCCAAACUCUAAACCG